rnacentral:tRNA from 1 species
AGUUAAUUAAUUUAAUAUAAAAAUAUUUAUUUUGAAAAUAAAAAUAGAAUUGAUUCUAUUAACUUAAUACU